GAUGAAGACGCAGUGAAAUGCGAUAAGUAAUGUGAAUUGCAGAAUUCAGUGAAUCAUCGAAUCUUUGAACGCACAUUGCGCCCGCCAGUAUUCUGGCGGGCAUGCCUGUUCGAGCGUCAUUUCAACCAUCAAGCCCCAGGCUUGUGUUGGAGCCCUGCGGCUGCCGCAGCCUCCCAAAACCAGUGGCGGGCUCGCUAUCACACCGAGUGCAGUAGUUUACUCUUCGCUCAGGGCGUGUGGCGGGUGCUAGCCGUAAAACCCCCAACUUCUCAAGGUUGACCUCGGAUCAGGUAGGAAUACCCGCUGAACUUAAGCAUAUCAAUAAGCGGAGGA
rnacentral:misc_RNA from 1 species